UACAGAGGUCUCAAGCGUUGUUCGGAUUCAUUGGGCGUAAAGGGUGCGUAGGUGGCGCCGUAAGUCGGGUGUGAAAUUUCGGAGCUUAACUCCGAAACUGCAUUCGAUACUGCGGUGCUUGAGGACUGGAGAGGAGACUGGAAUUCAUGGCGUAGCAGUGAAAUGCGUAGAGAUCAUGAGGAAGACCAGUGGCGGAAGGCGGGUCUCUGGGCAGUUCCUGACACUGAGACACGAAGGCCAGGGGAGCAAACGGG
rnacentral:rRNA from 1 species